AUUGAACGCUGGCGGCAGGCCUAACACAUGCAAGUCGAGCGAGCGGCGGACGGGUGAGUAAUGUAUGGGGACUGCCCGAUAGAGGGGGAUAACUACUGGAAACGGUGGCUAAUACCGCAUACUAUCGGAUAACCCAUAUGGGAUUAGCUAGUAGGUGGGGUAAAGGCUCACAAAGGCGACGACCUCUAGCUGGUCUGAGAGGAUGAUCGGCCACCCUGGGACUGAGACACGGCCCAGACUCCUACGGAGGCAGCAGUGGGGAAUAUUGGACAAUGGGCGCAAGCCUGAUGCAGCCAUGCCGCGUGUAUGAAGAAGGCUUUAGGGUUGUAAAGUACUUUCAGCGGGGAGGCGUUACCCAAAGAAGAAGCACCGGCUAACUCCGUGCCAGCAGCCGCGGUAAUUG
rnacentral:rRNA from 1 species